CCCGACUCUUCUUCCCCCUUCUCCUCUCUCUCCCACCCUCCUGCUCCCCUCCCCCGGCGCUCGGCAGGGCAUGGGGUACCCGGCCGAGGGGAGGACCCCUUCCCUCCCCAGGGAGCUGGAAGCUGUGGAGCUUGAGCCCCGGCCGCUCUGCUCUCCUGUGUCCCGGCGCUUCUGAAUCCAGAUCUGCAAACUGAGCAAGUGACGCCCGCCAAGCGGGUUAAAGGAGCGCAGAUGGGUUUCGAGGAGGGUCUUUCGGCAAGUUAAGCUUUUCGCAGGAGUGGCUCCUCCAUAAGAACCCGGAGAGCUAAGAGGCAAGACUGCAACUCCUUAGAGCAAAUGUGUGCAUGCAGAGUUGCUCAAGAGCCUUUGGAAUGCAUUCUGUGACUCAAAAGAAAUUCCCAGGAAUCAGCACUUCAGGACUGAUGGAUCCGUCAAGAAAUGCUCUUGAACACCACGCCCAUCUUUUACUCAUAAACUCAGGCAGAUUGGACUGGGAUUUCUAAGCUUUUGGACUUGAGGCAAAUCAUUGCAAUGUCACCUUCCUCAUCUGUAGCCAAAUGCUUGCAAAGAAUUAAAUCUCAAAGAGUCAUUAACCAAA